UAGGGAAUCUUCGGCAAUGGACGAAAGUCUGACCGAGCAACGCCGCGUGAGUGAAGAAGGUUUUCGGAUCGUAAAACUCUGUUGUUAGAGAAGAACAAGGACGUUAGUAACUGAACGUCCCCUGACGGUAUCUAACCAGAAAGCCACGGCUAACUACGUGCCAGCAGCCGCGGUAAUACGUAGGUGGCAAGCGUUGUCCGGAUUUAUUGGGCGUAAAGCGAGCGCAGGCGGUUUCUUAAGUCUGAUGUGAAAGCCCCCGGCUCAACCGGGGAGGGUCAUUGGAAACUGGGAGACUUGAGUGCAGAAGAGGAGAGUGGAAUUCCAUGUGUAGCGGUGAAAUGCGUAGAUAUAUGGAGGAACACCAGUGGCGAAGGCGGCUCUCUGGACUGUAACUGACGCUGAGGCUCGAAAGCGUGGGGAGCAAACAGG
rnacentral:rRNA from 2 species